GUUGUUAAUUUGCCGUAAAUAUCUCUUGAUUUGUACUCAAGAGUGAAGCAAGACUCCAAGGACGAGAGAUUGACGCAUCGGGAGCGAAGAACAGAAACGAUGGAUGGUUACGCUGCUUGGGUCUCGGCACGUUCGAAUUGGCAAAGUUCCGAAUUUGUCGCUGUGUUUUGUACGCUUGUGCGCUCGUCAUUUGCCGUCAUCGCGCGGAGAUAUUUGCGCUGGAUCUCUUUCACUUCGUGUACAAAACUCUGCACGCUGCGGCAUCGAAGAAGUUGUCCUGUGUUUGGGUGCACGUAUGCGCUUGGACACGGAUAUAUCCUGCUUGCUCUCAACGGGUGUUCAACAGUCUACGCGCACUCGUAACUUGCUCAUGAGGCAAGUUGCUGUUGUGCUGGAGCUGAGCAGAGGUCUGCUGCCUGCAAUGGGUCCAUCUCUCUCAAGUUAUCGCAGUAUUGUAGCUCUCAAAGUUCAAAAAAGUAUGGUGGAAGCUGUUGCCAAGGUUCCGACCAGG